ncrna:Olleya sp. VCSM12 S15-Flavobacteria ribosomal protein leader
UAUAUUUGCAGCUCGAAAGAAAGGCUUUCGUGUACAUAACAAUCAUUUACAAUAAUAUUAGAAUG